AAUGGUAACUGAGCAGAAGGUAUCUCUCCAGAGUACUUCAGAUCAUCCUAAAAGCAGCAUCAUUUCCACCAGGAACCCAGCUUCUACCAGAAAAGAGUGCUGGGAAAUGGUGCUUCUGAGCGUUAUUACUGAUUGCGAUUACAGAAGACUAUGGAAAGCCAAUGAAGACAACCAGACGAUGUGCAAAGUUGCUAACACAUGAAGGAGAUGUAAUUUCUUUCAUAUGUUUGAAAUUUCAUAUUAGAGAUAUUCAUGUUAGAGAUACUCACAUGCAGCAAACUUGUUUGGAGCACAACAUAUGCACUAAGCGACAACUGGGACUACUAACAGAAUAGAAGGCUCAUCUGAAUAUAUUUUUAAUAUUAGCGGGUUUUUAGAAAAAAAUACGUCCUCGACUCCAACUUGCCAGUUACACAUCUCAUCUGGACCAGAGUUGUGGUGAGAGUGCAGUGGAGGAAAGGUACUGCCACUCUGUCAAGAACAAGCUAUGGAUCUAACAUGACAUUGGGGAAAUCACCCCCUCCAGCGGAACGAUGCAAGCUGAAAUUCAUACCAAG